ACGCUCGACACCUACGGGGAGACAGCAGGUGGGGAAUAUUGCACAAUGGGGGAAACCCUGAUGCAGCGACGCCGCGUGAAGGAUGAAGUAUUUCGGUAUGUAAACUUCUAUCAGCAGGGAAGAAAGUGACGGUACCUGACUAAGAAGCCCCGGCUAACUACGCGCCAGCAGCCGCGGUAAUCUGAGCGGGCUGGCAAGGC
rnacentral:rRNA from 1 species